GACGAACGCUGGCGGCGUGCUUAACACAUGCAAGUCGAACGGAAAGGCCCUGCUUGCAGGGUACUCGAGUGGCGAACGGGUGAGUAACACGUGGGUGAUCUGCCCUGCACUUCGGGAUAAGCCUGGGAAACUGGGUCUAAUACCUGAUAGGAGCCAUUUUUAGUGUGAUGGUUGGAAAGUUUUUUCGGUGUAGGAUGAGCUCGCGGCCUAUCAGCUUGUUGGUGGGGUAAUGGCCUACCAAGGCGGCGACGGGUAGCCGGCCUGAGAGGGUGGACGGCCACAUUGGGACUGAGAUACGGCCCAGACUCCUACGGGAGGCAGCAGUGGGGAAUAUUGCACAAUGGGCGCAAGCCUGAUGCAGCGACGCCGCGUGGGGGAUGACGGCCUUCGGGUUGUAAACGCCUUUCGCUAGGGACGAAGCUUUUUGUGACGGUACCUAGAGAAGAAGCACCGGCUAACUACGUG
rnacentral:rRNA from 1 species